UACGUGAGGGUGCGAGCGUUUGUCCGGAAUUAUUGGGCGUAAAGGGCUCGUAGGCGGUUUGUCACGUCGGGAGUGAAAACUCAGGGCUUAACCCUGAGCCUGCUUCCGAUACGGGCAGACUAGGGGUAUGCAGGGGAGAAUGGAAUUCCUGGUGUAGCGGUGAAAUGCGCGAUAUCAGGAGGAACACCGGUGGCGAAGGCGGCCUGCUGGGCAGUAGCUGACGCUGAAGCGCGACAGCGUGGGGAGCAAACAGG
rnacentral:rRNA from 1 species